AUACGGGGGGAGCAAGCGUUGUCCGGAAUCACUGGGCGUAAAGGUCGUGUAGGCGGGCUGAUAAGUCAGAUGUGAAAGCCACGGCUUAACCGUGGAAUUGCAUUUGAUACUGUCAGUCUUGAGUGCGAGAGAGGGUAGUGGAAUUCCCGGUGUAGCGGUGAAAUGCGUAGAUAUCGGGAAGAACACCAGUAGCGAAGGCGGCUACCUGGCUCGCAACUGACGCUAAGGCGCGAAAGCGUGGGGAGCAAACAGGAUUAGAUACCCCAGUAGUCC
rnacentral:rRNA from 1 species